UUUUAGAAGUUAUACGCGUCAAAUAAGUGAAGCAGUUAAAUUAAUUAUAAUAUAUUAAAUAAAAUAAACUUAAACAUAUAUGAAUAUGAAAGUUGAAAGACACGUAUGGAUUACAACAAGUGAAUAUUGGAUUGAAUGAUGGUGGAUAUGUGGACGAAGCCUUAAGUCCUAAGAUUUCCAAAUUUUAGUAUAAAUAAGAUGUAAGCUUUUACAUUUCAAUUGUUCUGGCUUCUUUCCUCACGCUCAUAUUCACACCCAAUUUCUUUAGUUAUUCACCCCAAAAUACUCCAAAGUCCUGCCCCGUUUUAAGUGUUUUAACCCUUGAUCAUUGAUACCCUGUCCGACUGACGUAGGGCCCCGUAACUUAUGUCAAGCCUCUGCUUAAAUUCGUUAGGGUUCUGUCUCGUGAUGUAGGGAUAAAGUGGAAUUGGGUUAUUAUACUUAAUGUGAGUGCAAAAUAUAUUAUGAAAUAAUCCUGGAGUUAUACCCAGAUAUAUCAACCCUCCUAAAAUAUUUCCGACACUCCCAAAAUAUUUAGAAUGCCCCUAUAUGUCUUAGAAUGCACCCCGUAUAUGAAAACCGGCCCCGAAUACCUUUAUUUUAUUAAAAUUAAUUAAAAAUAAGAAUCUGGGGUCGCUCGCGGGCCGCGAAGACCUUAUUCGUCUUCUACGCGGGCCGCGACAGCUAAUAGAUCAGGUGAUACCACAAGCUGACACGUGUCGAUGACUCAGCAACCGUAUGCCGCCCUAUGGGUCCACGCGAGCCGCGUAAAACCUCACCUCAUCCUACGCGGGGCGCGACAAGGUCCAAGAUCAGCCCUAUAAAUUGAAUCGUCGAGCCUUCAGUCCAAUUCAUUCAGAAUUCAAUUUUCUCUCUCUCUUUCUAUAGUGUAGGCUCUAUACCCAGGCAUUAUACCCCCCUAAUUAGCGAAGCUCUGACUCGUUGUAAGUAUCAUAACCCCUGGAUACGUAUUUGAUACUCUGCCCAAUUGAUCUAGGGUUCCGUAACGGCUAUCGUGGUUCUGCCCGACGUAGUCGUUGGAAUGUCGUCUCGGGGAGGGUAUUACUAAUGUUAAAAUGGGUUAUUAUACUAACGCGUGUGCAUUGUUUAUUUAAUUAGAUUAUAACCAGGAAGUCACAAAGGAAAGCCCUAUAAUAGCAAUUCUAAAUGCUUAUCAGAUGUGCUACCAUUAACUUAGUGUGAAGCCCAUAAAAGCCAGCUGGAGAGCACUGA
rnacentral:lncRNA from 1 species